rnacentral:rRNA from 1 species
GAUGAACGCUGGCGGCGUGCCUAAUACAUGCAAGUCGAGCGAACGGACGAGAAGCUUGCUUCUCUGAUGUUAGCGGCGGACGGGUGAGUAACACGUGGAUAACCUACCUAUAAGACUGGGAUAACUUCGGGAAACCGUAGCUAAUACCGGAUAAUAUUUUGAACCGCAUGGUUCAAAAGUGAAAGACGGUCUUGCUGUCACUUAUAGAUGGAUCCGCGCUGCAUUAGCUAGUUGGUAAGGUAACGGCUUACCAAGGCAACGAUGCAUAGCCGACCUGAGAGGGUGAUCGGCCACACUGGAACUGAGACACGGUCCAGACUCCUACGGGAGGCAGCAGUAGGGAAUCUUCCGCAAUGGGCGAAAGCCUGACGGAGCAACGCCGCGUGAGUGAUGAAGGUCUUCGGAUCGUAAAACUCUGUUACUAGGGAAGAACAUAUGUGUAAGUAACUGUGCACAUCUUGACGGUACCUAAUCAGAAGGCCACGGCUAACUACGUG